AAGGAAUAUUGGUCAAUGGACGGAAGUCUGAACCAGCCAUGCCGCGUGCAGGAUGACUGCCCUAUGGGUUGUAAACUACUUUUAUACAGGAAUAAACCUCGAUACGUGUGUCGAGCUGAAUGUACUGUAGGAAUAAGGAUCGGCUAACUCCGUGCCAGCAGCCGCGGUAAUACGGUGGAUCCAAGCGUUAUCCGGAUUUAUUGGGUUUAAAGGGUGCGUAGGCGGCUUUUUAAGUUAGAGGUGAAAUACGGUGGCUCAACCAUCGCAGUGCCUUUGAUACUGAAGAGCUUGAAUGAUGUUGAAGAUGGCGGAAUGAGACAAGUAGCGGUGAAAUGCAUAGAUAUGUCUCAGAACCCCGAUUGCGAAGGCAGCUAUCUAAGCAUUUAUUGACGCUGAUGCACGAAAGCGUGGGGAUCAAAC
rnacentral:rRNA from 1 species